UACGAAGGGGGCUAGCGUUGUUCGGAAUUACUGGGCGUAAAGCGCACGUAGGCGGAUCGAUAAGUAAGGGGUGAAAUCCCAGAGCUCAACUCUGGAACUGCCUUUUAGACUGUCGAUCUGGAGCAGAGUAGAGGUGAGUGGAAUUCCGAGUGUAGAGGUGAAAUUCGUAGAUAUUCGGAGGAACACCAGUGGCGAAGGCGGCUCACUGGACUCUUGCUGACGCUGAGGUGCGAAAGCGUGGGGAG
rnacentral:rRNA from 1 species